GACGAACGCUGGCGGCGUGCUUGAUACAUGCAAGUCAAGGAGAAAAUUUCCUUCGGGAAAUAAGUAAACUGGCGAACGGGUGAGUAACACGUAGGUAACCUGCCUUAGAGAUUGGGAUAACCCCGGGAAACCGGAGCUAAUACCGAAUAAUGCAACGAAUCCUUCGGGGUAUGUUGUUAAAGCGGGCUUCGGCUCGCACUUUAAGAUGGGCCUGCGUCCGAUUAGCUUGUUGGUGGGGUAAUGGCCUACCAAGGCGACGAUCGGUAGCUGGUCUGAGAGGAUGAUCAGCCACACUGGGAUUGAGAUACGGCCCAGACUCCUACGGGAGGCAGCAGUAAGGAAUUUUGCGCAAUGGACGAAAGUCUGACGCAGCAACGCCGCGUGAUCGAUGACGCUUCUAGGAGUGUAAAGAUCUGUCGUGAGGGAAGAAAAACUUGGAUGUAAAUAAUGUUCGAAUUUGACGGUACCUCACAAGAAAGCACCGGCUAACUUCGUGCCAGCAGCCGCGGUAAUACGAGGGGUGCUAGCGUUGUCCGGAAUUACUGGGCGUAAAGGGUCCGUAGGCGUUUUGCCAAGUUGAUCGUUAAAGCCACCGGCUCAACCGGUGAUCUGCGAUCAAAACUGGCAGAAUAGAAUAUGUGAGAGGAAUGUGGAAUUCCUGGUGUAGCGGUGACAUGCGUAGAUAUCAGGAGGAACACCAAUGGCGAAGGCAGCAUUCUGGCACAAUAUUGACGCUGAGGGACGAAAGCGUGGGUAGCGAACAGGAUUAGAUACCCUGGUAGUCCACGCCGUAAACGAUGAGUACUUGAUGGUGGAGGAUUCGAUCCCUUCACUAUCGGAGCUAACGCGUUAAGUACUCCGCCUGGGGAAUACGGCCGCAAGGCUGAAACUCAAAGGAAUUGACGGGGACCCGCACAAGAGGUGGAACAUGUGGUUUAAUUCGAUGCAACGCGAAGAACCUUACCUGGACUUGACAUGUUAGUGAAAUCUCUGUGAAAGCAGAGCCUUCUGCGAGCUUGCUCAAAGACACUAUCACAGGUGAUGCAUGGCUGUCGUCAGCUCGUGUCGUGAGAUGUUGGGUUAAGUCCCGCAACGAGCGCAACCCCUAUCCUUAGUUGCCAGCACGUAAUGGUGGGGACUCUAAGGAGACUGCCUGGGAUAACCAGGAGGAAGGUGGGGAUGAUGUCAAGUCAGUAUGUCCCUUAUGUCCAGGGCUACACACGUGUUACAAUGGCCGGUACAAUGGGCCGCGAUCCCGCAAGGGCAAGCCAAUCCCAAAAAACCGGCCCCAGUUCAGAUUGGAGUCUGCAACUCGACUCCAUGAAGCAGGAAUCUCUAGUAAUCGCGGAUCAGAACGCCGCGGUGAAUACGUUCCCGGGUCUUGUACACACCGCCCGUCAAGCCAUGGAAGUCGGCAGUACCCGAAGCCGGUGGCCCAACUCUUCGGAGAGGGAGCCGUCGAAGGUAAGGCCGGUAACUAGGGCUAAGUCGUAACAGGGUAGCCGUACCGGAAGGUGCGGCUGGAUCACCUCCUUUCU
rnacentral:rRNA from 1 species